UAGGGAAUCUUCCGCAAUGGACGCAAGUCUGACGGAGCAACGCCGCGUGAGUGAAGAAGGAUUUCGGUUCGUAAAACUCUGUUGUUAGAGAAGAACAGCGCAUAGAGAAACUGUUAUGCGUGUGACGGUAUCUAACCAGAAAGCCACGGCUAACUACGUGCCAGCAGCCGCGGUAAUACGUAGGUGGCAAGCGUUGUCCGGAUUUAUUGGGCGUAAAGCGAGCGCAGGCGGUCAAUUAAGUCUGAUGUGAAAGCCCCCGGCUCAACCGGGGAGGGUCAUUGGAAACUGGUUGACUUGAGUGCAGAAGAGGAGAGUGGAAUUCCAUGUGUAGCGGUGAAAUGCGUAGAUAUAUGGAGGAACACCAGUGGCGAAGGCGACUCUCUGGUCUGUAACUGACGCUGAGGUUCGAAAGCGUGGGUAGCAAACAGG
rnacentral:rRNA from 1 species